AGAUGGCGACCGGCGCACGGGUGAGUAACACGUAUCCAACCUGCCGAUAACUCGGGGAGUAGCCUUUCGAAAGAAAGAUUAAUACCCGAUGGCAUAAUGAUUCCGCAUGGUUUCAUUAUUAAAGGAUUCCGGUAAAGGAUGGGGAUGCGUUCCAUUAGGUUGUUGGUGAGGUAACGGCUCACCAAGCCUUCGAUGGAUAGGGGUUCUGAGAGGAAGGUCCCCCACAUUGGAACUGAGACACGGUCCAAACUCCUACGGGAGGCAGCAUG
rnacentral:rRNA from 1 species